GUCAUAAUCUUCUGGCUGUCGGUGUCAUCAGAGUAAACAAAUUUUACCUUCUUGUAUGUCUUCUGGUCCAGAAAAGGCUUCACCACCUACAAAAUCCAAAACCAAUGAGAUGAAGCAUUGUGCCUCACAUUAAGCUGAAGAAUGUUGUUCUUGACUCGAGACAUUGUACAGAAGUCGCAGCAGUAAAUAACAAUGCAUGCCCAGCUUCGAAGACCGGUACCGGUUUACCUAAUCAGGAAUCAACUAAAUAGAGUGAUGGCGGUGACAGAUGUGCCCAGUGCAAUGCCGGCCCUCUCGAAAACAAAUUGAAAGGCAAUGUAUGAUGAUGUUAGCCUAAUCCGCACUAGCUACGGAAACAUCGGACUCAAUGGAGUGGAUGAACUUGUACAUGGUAAGCAUCCGGUUAUGAUCGGCUCGCAUCGGACUCGAUGGAGCGGAUGAACUUGUAAAUGGUCAACAUCUGGUUAUGAUCGGACUCAAUGGAGUGGAUGAGAUGAACUUGUACAUGGUAAGCAUUGGGUUAUGAUCGUCUCACAUCGGACUCUCGGACUCAAUGGAGCGGGUGAACUUGUAAAUGGUCAACAUCUGGUUAUGAUCGGACUCAACGGAGUGGAUGAGAUGAACUUGUGUACAUGAUCC